rnacentral:rRNA from 1 species
GUGUCAGCCGCCGCGGUAAUACGAAGGGACCUAGCGUAGUUCGGAAUUACUGGGCUUAAAGAGCUCGUAGGUGGUUAAGAAAGUUGGUGGUGAAAUCCCAAGNCUWAMCCUUGGAACUGCCACCAAAACUUUUUGACUAGAGUAUGAUAGAGGUAAGUGGAAUUUCUAGUGUAGAGGUGAAAUUCGUAGAUAUUAGAAAGAACACCAAUUGCGAAGGCAACUUUCUGGAUCAUUACUGACACUGAGGAGCGAAAGCAUGGGUAGCGAAGAGGAUUAGAUACCCUCGUAGUCCAUGCUGUAAACGAUGUGUGCUAGACGUUGGAAACUUAGUUUUCAGUGUCGCAGCGAAAGCGUUAAGCACACCGCCUGGGGAGUACGACCGCAAGGUUAAAACUCAAAUGAAUUGGCGGGGACCCGCACAAGCAGUGGAGCAUGUGGUUUAAUUCGAAGAUACGCGCAGAACCUUACCAACACUUGACAUGUUCGUCGCGACUCGUAGAGAUAUGAGUCUUCGGUUCGGCCGGACGAAACACAGGUGCUGCAUGGCUGUCGUCAGCUCGUGUCGUGAGAUGUUGGGUUAAGUCCCGCAACGAGCGCAACCCUUACUUUUAGUUGCCACCAUUUAGUUGAGCACUCUAAAAGAACUGCCAGUGAUAAGCUGGAGGAAGGCGGGGAUGACGUCAAGUCCUCAUGGCCCUUACGUGUUGGGCUACACACGUGCUACAAUGGCACUUACAAUGAGAUGCGAAGAGGCGACUCCUAGCCAAUCUCUAAANUGUGCCUCAGUUCGGAUUGUACUCUGCAACUCGAGUACAUGAAGCUGGAAUUGCUAGUAAUCGCGGAUCAGCUCGCCGCGGUGAAUACGUUCCCGGGUCUUGUACACACCGCCCGUC